rnacentral:rRNA from 1 species
UACGAAGGGGACUAGCGUUGUUCGGAAUUACUGAGCGUAAAGCGCGCGUAGGCGGAUCGCUAAGUCAGGGGUGAAAUCCCAGGGCUCAACCCUGGAACUGCCUUUGAUACUGACGAUCUGGAGAUCGGGAGAGGUUGGUGGAAUUCCGAGUGUAGAGGUGAAAUUCGUAGAUAUUGGGAAGAACACCGGUGGCGAAGGCGGCUCACUGGCUCGUAACUGACGCUCAUGCACGACAGCGUGGGGAUCAAACAGG